rnacentral:lncRNA from 1 species
GGUGGUCCACAGGGUGGGUGUGGGCGGGGUGCGGGUGCCUGGCCUCCUGCUGGAGGGCUGCAGGUGACGCGGUUCCAGUCAUUCGUCCCGGGGCUCCCCUUCCUGGGGCGGGGCUAUUUAAACCCCACAUGGGGUCAGAGAAAGAAGCUGCUGUGGCUGAGUGACAGCUGGGGUGCAGGGAAGGGGCCCCAGCCCCAGCCAGCGGGACCCCUGGCUGCCAUCACAGAGAGAAGGUCCCCAGGGAGAGCCACGCUCCCCCUCCAGGCCACAGAGAGCUUGCUCCCCAGAUGUUCAGCCCUCCACUGUCAUUUAGUCAGUUUAUUCCUGGCCGAGGCUGGGGAGGAACUGACAGCCCUGUGCAGGCACUUGAGUGAGUAUCAUAAAAACCCACGAAGGAGGCAUCUUACAGGCGCUGAUGGAGAAGCCAGAUGAAUUCAGACAAGGAGGAAAAGCGGGAAAAGGGAAAACGGAAAACAGAGAGGGUGUGCACAGACAGAGGGCAGUGAGGGGGCAUGGGACAGAGCCCUAGAGUGCAGAUGGGACCCAGUUCUCGUGGGCUCUUUGUGAGGUGCAUGGGCUGCUCCCCCUCGGGUCUGCCCCCUGCAGCGUGAGGAUGGGAGGUGCCACCCAUUGAUACUCCGCCUGAGUGGGAAUGCUGGUGACACAGAGAUAUGGCGGAGUGUGAACUUCCUGACGACGCAAGCACUGAGAGGCUGCAGGCUGCGGGGCGUACUGUGCUAAGCUAAGGGGCAGCAGGGCCGCACUCCUUCUGCAGGCUCGUGACUGUCCCCAUGCAUGCAUCACACUCAGCCCUGCUCCGCCAUCUCCGCUCCUUCUACGCUCCUACACCCUGCCUCCCUCUCACGUGGAGCUUCCUGAUGCCGCUGGGCCCACUUGGACAACCCGAGGCCCUUGCCGAACCACGUUGGCACAGACCCCUUAGCUGCGCUCAGGUGACACAGACUCCGGGCUGGGGCAGCGGUGGGCCUCGGGGCUGUGUGGCACGAGGCUCAGCAGAGUGCUGGCAUAAUGGUGGGCAGAGCAUGUGGAGGCAGGACCUCGACGCCACUGAGGGCCUCUGUCACCAAACUCCCAGGGUCCCCUUUUGGUGCCUGCUGGGUGGGGCAGAGACAAGGCACCAGGCCUGCAAUUCUGAAGAGCCAAUUUCAGACGCUGCUUGGACAAUGACUCCCCAUGGGUCCCAGCCCUUCCUCGGGUGCCUCAUUCAUCAGGCUCAGUUGUUUGCUAAAGCAAAAGGCCAAGAUCGGGGCCGUGCUAGCAGCUCAGAAGGGCUGCGGGAAUUGGCCAUACCCAAUAAGC